CCUACGGGUGGCAGCAGUGGGGAAUAUUGCACAAUGGGCGAAACCCUGAUGCAGCGACGCCGCGUGAGUGAAGAAGUAUUUCGGUAUGUAAAGCUCUAUCAGCAGGGAAGAAAAUGACGGUACCUGAUUAAGAAGCCCCGGCUAACUACGUGCCAGCAGCCGCGGUAAUACGGAGGGGGCAAGCGUUAUCCGGAUUUACUGGGUGUAAAGGGAGCGUAGACGGCAGCACAAGUCAGGAGUGAAAUUCCGGGGCUUAACCCCGGAACUGCUUUGGAAACUGUGCAGCUUGAGUGCAGGAGAGGUAAGUGGAAUUCCUGGUGUAGCGGUGAAAUGCGUAGAUAUUAGGAGGAACACCAGUGGCGAAGGCGGCUUACUGAACUGUCACUGACGUUGAGGCUCGAAAGUGUGGGUAGCAAACAGGAUUAGAUACCCUUGUAGUC
rnacentral:rRNA from 1 species